AAGUCGUAACAAGGUUUCCGUAGGUGAACCUGCGGAAGGAUCAUUAACACGUAUCCAAACGUUAAACCCCCCUGUGAACCUUCAGUCGUACUCGUACGUCCGUUAGAAAAAGCAGCAAUCCCUGGUAAAUCAUCGCCGAACAGUUUUCGAUUCAGGGACGUCUGCAAGGAGCGUGCAUGUUGUGCGUGUAAGUGGCCUGGCAUCCCCAAGCAGUUAGUGUCUGAAAGUGUCACUAACGUUAGUGUCUGAAAGUGUCACUAACAUGUGUAAGGAUGACGCAGUCACGAUCCUGGGUGCAAGCCCCCUUAUCACACCCCUGCUCUAUCUAUGGUGAUCCUGCGGGAAGUCCUGCGGUCGAACGCCGAAACCGAACAACUGUUAACAAUGGAUAUCUUGGUUCUC
rnacentral:misc_RNA from 1 species